rnacentral:rRNA from 1 species
GCCUAACCACAACAUACAAUUAAAUUACUAAUUGUUCGCCAAACAACUACGAGUCCUACUUAAAACUUAAAAGACUUGACGGUACUUCAUCACGGCCUAGAGGAGCCUGUCUAAUAACCGACAAUCCACGAUUAACCCCACCCCUUCUCGCCUUACAGUCUAUAUACCGCCGUCGCCAGCUUACCUUGUAAAAGAAAAAAAGUGAGCUAAACAGUACAACACUAAAACGACAGGUCGAGGUGUAACCUAUGAAAGGGACUAUGAUGGGCUACAUUCUUCAACCAAGAAUACGAAUAACACUAUGAAAUUAAUGCUUGAAGGCGGAUUUAGCAGUAAGAUAAGAAUAAAACACUUAACUGAACAUGACGCAAUGAAGUGCGUACACACCGCCCGUCACCCCUGUCACCAUAAUAUCAGACCUCAAUAAACCAACUAAUGAAUCAAGCAGGGUAAGUCGUAACAUGGUAAGUGUACUGGAAAGUGCACUUAGAAA